CGGGACACGUGGUAUCCUGUCUGAAUAUGGGGGGACCAUCCUCCAAGGCUAAAUACUCCUGACUGACCGAUAGUGAACCAGUACCGUGAGGGAAAGGCGAAAAGAACCCCGGCGAGGGGAGUGAAAAAGAACCUGAAACCGUGUACGUACAAGCAGUGGGAGCACGCUUAGGCGUGUGACUGCGUACCUUUUGUAUAAUGGGUCAGCGACUUAUAUUCUGUAGCAAGGUUAACCGAAUAGGGGAGCCGAAGGGAAACCGAGUCUUAACUGGGCGUUAAGUUGCAGGGUAUAGACCCGAAACCCGGUGAUCUAGCCAUGGGCAGGUUGAAGGUUGGGUAACACUAACUGGAGGACCGAACCGACUAAUGUUGAAAAAUUAGCGGAUGACUUGUGGCUGGGGGUGAAAGGCCAAUCAAACCGGGAGAUAGCUGGUUCUCCCCGAAAGCUAUUUAGGU
rnacentral:rRNA from 1 species